rnacentral:lncRNA from 1 species
UUUAUACAUCUAGGCCAUCGAUACAUAGAACACACUCACUCAAGUGUUGUUCCUUUAUACAUCUAGGCCAUCGAUACAUAGAACACACUCACUCAAGUGUUGUUCCUUUAUACAUCUAGGCCAUCGAUACAUAGAACACACUCACUCAAUGUGUUCCUUUAUACAUCUACGCCAUCGAUACAUAGAACACACUCACUCAAGUGUUGUUCCUUUAUACAUCUACGCCAUCGAUACAUAGAACACACUCACUCAAGUGUUGUUCCUUUAUACAUCUAGGCCAUCGAUACAUAGAACACACUCACUCAAGUGUUGUUCCUUUAUACAUCUAGGCCAU